rnacentral:lncRNA from 1 species
CCCGCGCCUGCCCCAGGUCCCCCACCCCUCCAGUCCUCUGACUGCUCGGAAUUCCUCCUCCUGACUUGGAUGAGGGCCCAGAACCCACUGCCGGGUGGGGGUGGGGGUGCAAAGUGUCGGGAGGUGGAUUGGGUGUCUAGCACCCUGAUAUCUAAGAUCGCCCGAGAUUCUGCGUAUCUGAAUUUCUUAGGUAGAAUGAGGAAAGAUCUGAAGAACGUUUCGGGGACUAUAACUAGAAAUAUCACGGUGAAAAUUAUACUGGUUCAUUGCAAAUUCAGCAUAUAGUGAUUUUCCCUUUAUUAGCAUCCUUACAUCCUGACAUCUCUAAAACCAGGAAUUUGAGAGGCAGGACGAUGGAGGUGCCAGGCAGUGAUAGCGGGAACCAAGGGACUUCGGGUCAAGCAUAAGUUUUCCUAGAGCUUUAAAUGACCUUGAGAAUGUCACUUUAACCUUAAUAGGCUUAGGGAUCCCCGUGCACAAAAUGAGAUCUGAUGAUGAUUCGCUCUCGACUUCCCUGACUGCAGGUCAGUAAUCAGGCCCUGUGGAGAAGAGGCUGUAGGUGGCUAGAACCAUCUCCCUGGCUCCCUCUGCGCGUCCGAGAAAGUGCAAGCUCGCUUUUGGAGACCAGGAGAUUGGGCGGGCAAUUCGCUCUGAGCCUUGACAGUUAAUCUGCCUAGAGCCCGCGUGGCCAGGACGAGCGAGCUUUCUCUCUGCCUGCUCUGUCCGAGCUGACAGUGAUUUAUGCGCCGGUGACACAAGCCGGCCGUGAACCUGGAUGGCUAGACGGUUUUCGGGGGCUGCACGGAGUUAAAGCAGGACCGCUCAGCGCGGCGCUGAGGAAGGUCUUCCAGCCUGCACGCCUCUCUCGGGUGCUCGCAGUUCCAGCGAGCGGAUACGGCAGACUUUCCUGCUCAGUUGGAUUCAGUGUCAACCUUCUCGGUUAACCGAAGACAUUUCCACUCCUGGAUGUGUCGCCCUCGAGCCCUGGGCCCUGGACCGAACUCGAGGUGCAGGUCUCGCGCCGAAGCCACCGGCCAAGGCAGUACUUCCCUCGCGGUUCAAAGUCCACAGCAGCUGCCUUCCCGGAGGCUGGAGGCCGCCUCCCGGGACCACAAAGCGAACGCCUCCGCCCGGCAGGCCUCGGGCGGGGCCGCGGGACUUCUAAGGUGUUGGGGGAUGCUGGCUGGACCCUCCGCGGUUCUUUUGUCAACCCAGGGGUUCAAACAUUCAUUUUAUAAUCGUCUGUGAACAACAACGCGCGACUAAGAAAGACUGCCAAGAAUUAAACUGAAGUCAGGCACCCACGUUUCGGGGAGAUUUUUUUCCCUUGAGCUUGAGACAAGGGGGCUGUGCCCCCUUAGGAUUCAUUCCCCCUAUUUCUUCCAACUCUAUGUUCUGCUUGGUUACAAGCAGCGACGUGGACACGGUGUGAAACCAGGCGGGGCGGGAAAUGGGGCUCCUCUCCCUGGCUCAGGUGUGUAAUCUCGAACCCACUGCCAUCCCCAGCCCACCCCGCCCUGGAUGCAGGGACGCGGGAAAAGCAAGCAUCUCUGCGCACCAGUAGGAAGAAGGUGAGACCAGAAGGCCAUGGGUCAGGCCUUAAUGCACUGCGAGGGUGAGGUGUGGAGAUCUCUGAGGAGUUGGGCCUUGCUUCCCUGCUCUUCCUCUCCUUUAUAUCUCCCACCUCCUCCCCAGGACACACACACCUGGAGGGAGGGGAAAUGGAUGGAGAGGAGGCUGGAGAGACGCUCCCACCCACCAGGAGAUCAGACUCUUCUAAGGCCACGCGAUUUGCCCAGUUCUGGUGCAGGUCACAGAAGAUGCUAAGACAGAUGCUAAGAUGACGCUAACAAGAUGCUAAGAUGCGAAGACACAGGAAUGGUCCGACGCAACGAAGCUCAAAAGGAGACAACCCUCUCUCAUUCAUAAAUAUUACUGCAAAUGUAUUAGAGACCUCAAGUGAUUUUUUAUUCCGUUUGCAGUCUCCGCUGAAAGGGAUCUGGUACUGUUUGUGCUAGUCAAGCGCCAGAACACUGUUAAAGUGAAAGGGAAAAGGGAACUAAGAAUGUUUUAAAAGACACAUGUAACAUUUUAAGAUAACCAUAUACAAAAUGCUCACAUAACUUUUAUGAGGCCAGUUACAAUGAAGAAAAUACAUUUUCUAAUUUAAUAAAAUUUAGUUAUUUUGGUGGUUUCA